rnacentral:tRNA from 1 species
GGGAUUUUGACUAAUGGUAAGCUAUCUUAUUUGCAUUAAGAUAAUUCUAGUUCGAUUCUAGAAAAUUCCA